UGCAACAUUGAAAUGGGUGUGGUUGGCAGGAUGGCUGGGCAUAAAUCACUACAGAACUAAAGCAAAUGCGUGCACGGUCCCAGGCUGGACUUGAAUAGGCACAGGAAUUGUGGAAAGAUGAGGACAAGAUAGCAGAGAACAAUGGAUAAAUAGAUAUGAUUCAUGCUGACAAAAUUGAAACAGUAAUCAAUAUUGAUAAUUAAUAUUUGGAAAUAAAAAAACAGUUAAAGAUGUCAUGCCAAGCAAGAAAGGGAGAGGAGGGGUCCACCCCCAACCUUCUCCUGCAGAUGUUCAGAACAGGAGGAAGCAAGAGAUAACUAUGACUAAAUUUCGUUGGAAGAGAGGAGAAUUUGGUUGGACACCAGGAAAAUGUUUAUUGUAGCAGGCACAGGGCCUGCACGGCCUCCCUGGCGAUCAGAAGCCUGAGCUAGGAAAUGCCAAAGAGUAGCAUGACUAAGGCUUUAGAAACCCCUCUCUUCCGCCUUUCCGGACCCUGUUAUCUCCCUGUAUAUCCAUAGGUCACUUUUCCCCUGACCCUUACUAUUGGACAGUUUUCAAAACCCCUGUAAGGUAUAAAACCCCUAACUCUGCCCACUUCGGGAGAGAAGAGCUGUCACUGGACCCUUCGCGGAGACCCGAAUAAAAGAACCCUGCGGAACCCAUACAGCGCUUCUCCCUCUCUCUCUGCGUCUGCUGCGGCGGCGGUACCGACGGCACCAGGCAAGCUAAAAGAGCUGAAAUCACUAAAGAGCUGACUGCAAAUCACUAUAGCCUGCCUGGGUUGCCUGAGCCCCCCGCUGAGCUAUCCUGGCCCUCCGCUGAGCUAUCCUGGCCGGCCGGCAUUCCCCGCUGGGCUUCUGCCCUGAGGGUAAUAGCCCAGCCAUAGAUGGUGCACCGAACAUAGCGGACGCCCGAACAGCGAGGGGCCCCUGGGCCGACAUCUGAACCGCCGUGAUAUCCUGGCCGCGGAACUGAAUGCCGGACCUGGCAUUUCAGAGGAGCAGCAUUUCUUCGUGAAAUUGUCACUGCCUCCGCGCCAGAAAUCCUGGAAGGAGAAGCUCUCCGUUAUAGAAGGACUCUUCUGGACAGGAGGUCAGCCGACCCGCACCCCGACACCUGAACACUUGUUCAUGGAGGCUGAUGAGCAGACGACCCCCAGCAGAACUUUGACCCACAACAGGCUGAAAAGUAACGUCCUUGUGGACCUGGGCACGGGCAAGGCGAAGCUCAUCGACUUCAGGUGCGGCACGAUCCUCCAGGACAUGUUCUACACCUAGAUGUCAGGAACGCCAUAGGAGUCCCAUAGGAGUGCAGCCCACCGGAGUGGAUCCUCUUCAGCUGCUGCCAUGGCCAGCCAGCCACCAUCUGAUCCCUGGGCAUUCUGCUCCAUGACCUGGUCUGCAGGCUCUUUCAUUUCUACAGCAAUGAGGACAUCGUCAGGGGCUAGCUCUUCUUUCCACCCUGGGUGUCUCAAGACGAGGAUGCACCUUCUUACAAACGGUGGCCCUUUUCUACAGGAAACAAAAUUCAGCCCCCAGUGUUUCGAGGUCGGGUCAGAGGUGGAGUCUGGAGCUCCAAGAGCACGCAGAGUCCGAGUUACUAGACUGUUGAUGUUUGCAAUAUUUAGAGGCUGCCUAUAUGCAUGUACUCACAAAAGCUUUGCCUCCAUCUGGAUUAGCUCUCCUUCCUCUGAGCCCCACAUGCAGCAGAGAGAAGGAGAAUGGGGAAAAUGGCACCGGCAAUGAUGAUGACAGAAGAAAAAAAGAGGAGUUGAGUUCAGAGGAAAAAGGAUGUAAGGUAAGGAGACCAAGCUAAGUCCUGUGUGGUAGAUUUUUGGUUCAUGUGCUGUAGGUGUAGCUCUGAGAACUUUUC